rnacentral:rRNA from 1 species
AUUGAACGCUGGCGGCAUGCCUUACACAUGCAAGUCGAACGGCAGCACGGGAGCAAUCCUGGUGGCGAGUGGCGAACGGGUGAGUAAUGUAUCGGAACGUGCCCAGUCGUGGGGGAUAACGUAGCGAAAGCUACGCUAAUACCGCAUACGAUCUGUGGAUGAAAGCGGGGGACCGUAAGGCCUCGCGCGAUUGGAGCGGCCGAUAUCAGAUUAGGUAGUUGGUGGGGUAAAGGCCUACCAAGCCGACGAUCUGUAGCUGGUCUGAGAGGACGACCAGCCACACUGGGACUGAGACACGGCCCAGACUCCUACGGGAGGCAGCAGUGGGGAAUUUUGGACAAUGGGCGCAAGCCUGAUCCAGCAAUGCCGCGUGCAGGAUGAAGGCCUUCGGGUUGUAAACUGCUUUUGUACGGAGCGAAAAGGCUUCCGCUAAUACUGGGGGCUCAUGACGGUACCGUAAGAAUAAGCACCGGCUAACUACGUGCCAGCCGCCGCGGUAAGAC